rnacentral:lncRNA from 1 species
GGGGGACACCGAGGCCUCGCCUGUGACCUUAUCCUGGGGCCAGGCUACCAGCCAGCUGCGCGAACAAGCUCUUGCGGCAGGGGGCAGGGCUAAGCACGCUGUGCCCAAGGCUGAGCGCCACCCUGGCAGGGGCCUCACUCCUCAGGUCUCUCCUGUGGCCCUCAGGGGACAAGGACGCUCUUUCCACUCAGCCAGGGAGUGCCCUGGCUGCUCUGCCCCUCUCCCCACAGGACCCCUUAACCUAGGGCCUCUCACACCUACAGGUGGCCAGGAACCCAGUGGGCCUCAGAAUGUGCAUUUGUACCGGGUUCCCAAGGCAUGCGGGGCCACGGGGCUGGGACCACAGAGGCUGACUGGCGGGAUCCGGGCUGAACUCCAGAGGGGAGGGCCUCUGCCCCCCGGAACCCUGGGAUGGAAGCAGCAUUUUGGAGGCUGAUUCCCAAGGAGGGGGAAGAAGGACGACACCGGGCACCCACCGCGGGCCUCGGAACAAGCGCCCGAACUUCUCCCGCCCCGGGCUUCAUCCACGCCUUCGCUGGCUUGUUUCCUCCGCACUGCACUCUGGAAGGUCGGUCCCAGAGUUAACACAGAGAGGUUCUGACUUGGGCACCGUUGGACUCUCGGGCACCCAGAAGAAGCCCCGCAUUCAGUGGGCGCUCAGUAAAUAUUUGUGGGUGGAUGAAUGAGGAGAACCAGCUGGCUGGCACUUGGGGCAGGAGCCUGUCCACUUGGGGUCUCAAAUCAUUGAAUUUUGUAGAAGGUGGACUCUUGGAAGGAUGCAUGCGUUGCUUCUGAGGCCCCCUCUGGACUUGCUGCAGAAGAUGAUGGAGACUGCAGACCACCUACCCUGUGCAUCUAAACUCAAUCAUGCAGUUCUCAGAGGGAGACCCCCCUCUUAGACCCUAGUUGGUCAGGGUUGCAGCCUGGUACUGGGAGUCUCAACAGCUCUUCGGGUGAUUCUACUGUGCAGCCAGGAGCUAGAAUUAAUCUAACCCAACCCCGUCACAUUACAGAAAAGGGAGAGUGUAUGCCCGGGAUAUGCAGUGGGUGUGGCAGACCCCCUGGCCAGGCUUAGAGCCGGCUCUCAUAUGGAGCAGGCAUUCUUUCCUUACAAUUGGCCACAUUGCAUUCAGAGCUGGACCAAAGCCUAUGUGACUCACAGGAUCACAGGAGCACUGUGGGAUGGUCCCUCAGGCUAGUACAGCUUCCACGCCAGCGGCUGCA